CCUACGGGAGACAACAGUGGGGAAUAUUGGGCAAUGGGCGCAAGCCUGACCCAGCAACGCCGCGUGAAGGAAGAAGGCCCUCGGGUUGUAAACUUCUUUUGUCAGGGACGAAACAAAUGACGGUACCUGACGAAUAAGCCACGGCUAACUACGUGCCAGCAGCCGCGGUAAUACGUAGGUGGCAAGCGUUAUCCGGAUUUACUGGGUGUACAGGGCGUGUAGGCGGGAGAGCAAGUCAGAUGUGAAAUUCCAGGGCUCAACCCUGGAACUGCAUUUGAAACUGUUUUUCUUGAGUGUAGGAGAGGCAGGCGGAAUGCCGUGUGUAGCGGUGAAAUGCGUAGAUAUACGGAGGAACACCAGUGGCGAAGGCGGCCUGCUGGACAUUAACUGACGCUGAGGCGCGAAAGCGUGGGGAGCAAACAGGAUUAGAUACCCGGGUAGUC
rnacentral:rRNA from 1 species